UAAAACAUCCUCCUUGCCAAGGAGAAGAUGCGGGGUCGAUUUCCCCGCUACA
rnacentral:tRNA from 1 species